ACCAUCCCCGUGGCUACGUGCCGGUUCACAGACCCGAUGGACCCUACUGACCGAGCCCAACCACAGACGGACCAGCCUUUCCUCCUCCGCCCACCAACCCUGCUCCGCCCGGCCGCCCUCUCCGCCGGCGACAUCUCCCGCGCUCGCCAGGCGCUGUGGGCGGGGGACUGGCGCAUGAGCCAGCGCCGGUCCCUCUCACCAUGAGAGGAGCAGACCGCCAACAAGGGCGCCGCCGUGACGGGGGGCUCCAGGCCCGCCGCCUUUUCCUCCUGCCGGUCGCCGCUACCCACUACCUCCCGCAGCUUCCCUCCGUGUCCGCCUCCUUCCAUCGCUCCACGCCCUCACCAACACCACGGGAGCUGCCUGCAGCAUCCUCGACCCUCUCCACGACCUGAUCGUACCAGGUUAUCUCUCCAGGUUGCUGCAGUUGCUACAGUACUAGCUAGGUGUCGAACGGGCGGUUGUGUUGUGUUGUCCGGCGAGAUAGGAGCUGUCUCUGCUGCAUUUUCCUCUGAAUCUGCCUGUGUUUCCAGCGUAGUGUCGGUGCAGAUGUCAGCUGUAGCCUCUACAUUGGUAUAGAAUGGUCUAGGCACUGUUAAUCUUUGUGGAUAACUGUGGAUGCUGUGAAAUGGUGUAGCCUCUAGGUUGGUACAGAAUGGUGCACACACAUUUAGCCGCUGAAACAUAUCCCUUCGAUCACAAAUCUGCUUUGAGAUAUUGGAGUUAUUCUUCAGCAGAAGAAAAAUCAUAUGUUUUCCUGGUGUGAUUACUGGUAAUGGUCAUAUUCUUAGGAUAUUUUGCGAUUUUUGCCAAGAGAGAUAUGCAUGCUUUGCUGUGCAUACAGGAACACUGUUUUGUUAUUCUUGCUGUUGGGGUUAUGUUUCCCUACCACAGUGUACCAUCUUAGCAUUUUGAAAUUUGGAAGCGGGUUGGGGUGGUCUGAUUUUGCCAACAGAGAUGCCUCUUUGUGCUUUCUAAGUUUCUAUUCUAGCAACUGUGAAAUAAAGUGAUAUGACUCCACAGACUUCUGAUUUAGCCCCUUGGACCAGAAUUGACUAAAUGGUCCUGAAUUUAACAUUUUAACUGAAUUUGCUUGUGCACCUUGCCUUUUCGUGGUUAAAACCAGAAAUGCUGCCAUGUCAGCUAUAUUUUUCAGAAGCACUCCAGUUAAGAUACUGUAACCAGGAUAACACUGUAUUUGGCAGAUUAUUUACUCCAUAAACUGAAGUUAUGACAGAAUCUUAGUGUAGAUUUAACACAAUCAAACUUAUUGCAGAAUUAUAGGAGUACAUGAAAACUGAACUUAUGGCACAGUCUCAUUUUCCUAUGCUAUCCAUAUGGUCUCAAGCAGCUUAGUUGGGCCUUAAUUAAUAAAUGGGCAUGGAAGUGCAAAUACAUUGCCCUGUCUGAAAGAUAAUGACAGUCAUGGAAUUUAUAUUUCUCUUACUGAAAGAUAAUGACAGUCAUGGAAUUUAUAUUUAUACAUGGUCCUGACUAAAUACAUGGAAUUUAUAUUUAUACAUGGUCCUGACUAAAUACAUGGAAUUUAUAUUCAGUCAUUCUCUGAGUAUAUAAACUGAAAUAUUCAGUCAUUCUCUAAAUUUCUAUAUUUCUCGGAAAAUAUUCAGACAAGAUUGUGAAUUUCGUGAACAUGAUUGAUUUAUAGUGAACACUAUUGAUCAUGUAGACAAUACUGAAGUAAUCUGAAUAUUCUGAAGUUGCUGGCACUGUAAUACUCCAAGUUUCUCUGAAUUUCUAUAUUUCUCUGAAAAUUCUCUGAGUACUUAGAAGUAAGAAGUCAUCUAAGUUAUUACUGGUAUUGAUGCAAUGUGCUUGUAUUGAACCAUCUAUCCAAGUUUAUUACUAACUAUAUAUGUGCUUCUCUGCACCUAUGCUUGCCAGUAUAUCUAUUUGCUUUAUGGACAUGACUCUUGUGUUUGUUUACUUGUUACUAUGACAAUUGCGACGGGAGCGGCCGGAAUUAUCUGUGGCGCCGGCGCCAAAGUGGGCGAAGUGUCUGCUCCUGCGAGCGGCGGCGGUGGUCGCCCCUGUGGCAGCGGCUUAGGUGGGAGGCGGCGUUGGGCCUGACGGUGGAUGCGCUGGUCGCCUCCGUGGGCAGCGGUGGUCAAGCUGCACAGGUGGGAGGCGGUGCUGGGCCUGACGGUGGAUGCGCUGGUCGCCCCCGUGGGCGGCAGUGGGCGAGGUGGGGCGGCGGUGGUCUAGCUGCGCAGGUGGGGGGCGGUGGUUGCCUCCGUGGCGACAAUGCAGGUGGGCAGCGCUGGCUCCAACGGUGGCUGGCUACUCGUGGACGACGGGGGAGGAGGAAGGAAGGAUACAGGCUGACUUUGCAACAGGUUUAAAUGCAUAAGUUUUUUUUUUGCAAAAAUCAAAAUUAACUAAGCCGGUGACAUUCUUUUUGGGACGGAGGGAGUAUUUGCUUCUUCUUUUUCAACUGAGUGCCAUUGAGAUGGUCAUUUUUCAUCGGCGAUGUCUUGGGUGGAUGUUCUUAAAGGAGCACUAUCCAAUCGGGAAUGCGAUGUUAUAUUUGAAAUUUUGAAUGUGGGUCGUCAAACUUUGCUGAGGCACUAGCGCCUGCUCUGGAUGGUCCUCCAGAUGGAACUUUAAUGUCUUAAUCUCAUGUUUCUGGCUUUCUGCAUCUUGUAUUUCUUCUGAAAGUAUUCAUGACCUGUCCCAUGAGCCUCAUGCAGAAACAUGGAUAGCAAAUACACUUCCUAUUCAAUAAAUCUGGUCGAGGUAUCAACAAGGGAUUCGCCUCUGGCUAGCAUGCAGAAGGUUGAUCUUCCUGUGGAUACCUCUCAUCUGGGAGUAAAGCACACAAUGUAGCUCCUUUACUUUGCAGGACACAAAACGGCCUGAAGCUACAAAUUUGCAUCGCUGAGCCUCAGGCUAAAGUUGAGAAGCACUGAAGGAUGAAUGGUGGCACGUGAUCGCUGCGUUUAACAUAGCACUGCUGUUUGGCACCUCCUUAAAAAUGUGAACUCAGUCCGAAGAGACUACCAUGUUCUCAACAUGCAUAUCUGCCGCAAGUGCUAGUGCUUCCCUCACCGCAAUGGCUUCAAGAGUAGCUGGGUCCUGUACCCCUACUAUUACCAGCGACGAACUGCCGAUAAACUUGCCAUUGCAGUCCCUGCAAAUAGCAGAAACAGCUCCGCCUCUGCCCUGGCGCGUUGCUGCAUCAACAUGUAUUUUAUGGGAGCCC